AUGAGGCAAGCUGGAAAGACACUAAAGGACUAUCCAGGCAUAGAACUACCAAAUGCUACUGAACUUGAACAACUUGGGAACAGAAUGAUAAAUGAAGAACUUAGCUACGACACACAAGCACUAAAGAUUGAGCACCAAACCAUAGUUAGCAAUCUUAACUAUGGCCAGAAAAUUGCCUUUGAUGCCAUAAUGGAAUCAGCUUACAGAGGACUUGGAAAACAGAUAUUUGUAGAGGGCUACGGUGGCACAGGCAAAACUUAUCUAUGGAAAGCAAUCACAACAAAGCUACGAUCGGAGGGGAAAAUAGUGCUUGCGGUAGCAUCAUCUGGCAUUGCAGCAUUGCUCCUCCAAGGUGGAAGAACAGCGCACUCAAGAUUCCACAUUUCAAUAAAUAUCACAGAAGAAUCAACAUGUGAAAUAAAACAAGGCUCACAUUUGGCUGAACUGGUAAAGAGGACCUCACUGAUACUGUGGGACGAGGCUCCUAUGGCACACAAACACUGCUUCGAGGCACUAGACAAAAGCCUUAGGGAUAUUCUAAGGUUCCAAAACCAAAACAGUGACGAAAGGCCAUUUGGUGGCAUGACAGUUGUGCUAGGAGGCGACUUCAGACAAAUACUUCCAGCGGUUACAAAGGGAAAGAGAGAGCAGAUAGUAAAUGCCUCAGUCAAAAGGUCAUACCUAUGGAAGCACUUCGAAAUAUUUAGACCAACUGAAAACAUGCGGCUGAAGUGCCUGUCAGAAGAUCCAAUACAAAAGCAAAAUGUGGCUGAAUUUGCAUAA
rnacentral:rRNA from 1 species